rnacentral:rRNA from 1 species
GAAUCCCGUCUUUGGCACGGAAACCCCAGGGCUUUUGUGAUGCGCUCUCGAAGAGUCGAGUUGUUUGGGAAUGCAGCUCAAAAUGGGUGGUGAACUCCAUCUAAAGCUAAAUAUUGGCGAGAGACCGAUAGCGAACAAGUACCGUGAGGGAAAGAUGAAAAGCACUUUGGAAAGAGAGUGAAACAGUACGUGAAAUUGUUGAAAGGGAAACGCUUGAAGUCAGUCGCGUCGACCGAGACUCAGCCUUGCCCUUGGCUUGGUGUACUUCUCGGCUGACGGGUCAGCAUCAAUUUUGCCCCUUGGAUAAUGGCGAGGGAAAUGUGACACCUUUACGGUGUGUUAUAGUCUCUUGUCGCAUGCAAGGGUUGGGAUUGAGGAACUCAGCACGCACCUUUGGGUGUCGGGGCUUUGCCCACGAUACGUGCUUAGGAUGUUGGCGUAAUGGCUUUAAACGACCCGUCUUGAAACACGGACCAAGGAGUCUAACAUGCCUGCGAGUGUUCGGGUGGAAAACUCGUGCGCGCAAUGAAAGUGAAAGUUGGGACCUCUGUCGUGGAGGGCACCGACGCCCGGACCAGACCUUCUGUGACGGCUCUGCGGUAAAGCAUGUAUGUUAGGACCCGAAAGAUGGUGAACUAUGCCUGAAUAGGGUGAAGCCAGAGGAAACUCUGGUGGAGGCUCGUAGCGAUUCUGACGUGCAAAUCGAUCGUCAAAUUUGGGUAUAGGGGCGAAGGACUAAUCGAACCAUCUAGUAGCUGGUUCC